UACGGAGGGUGCAAGCGUUAUCCGGAUUCACUGGGCGUAAAGGGUGCGUAGGUGGCCAGGUAAGUUUGGUGUGAAAGCUCGGAGCUUAACUCCGAAAAGUCAUUGAAUACUAUCUGGCUGGAGGGUCGGAGGGGAGACUGGAAUUCUCGGUGUAGCAGUGAAAUGCGUAGAUAUCGAGAGGAACACCAGUGGCGAAGGCGAGUCCCUGGACACUUCCUGACACUGAGGCACGAAAGCUAGGGGAGCAAACAGG
rnacentral:rRNA from 1 species